AGUAGGGAAUAUUGGGCAAUGGAGGCAACUCUGACCCAGCCAUGCCGCGUGCAGGAUGACGGCCUUCUGGGUUGUAAACUGCUUUUAUCAGGGAAGAAAACGCUCCUGCGGGGGUAACUGACGGUACCUGAGGAAUAAGCACCGGCUAACUCCGUGCCAGCAGCCGCGGUAAUACGGAGGGUGCAAGCGUUGUCCGGAUUUAUUGGGUUUAAAGGGUGCGUAGGCGGCUAAUUAAGUCAGUGGUGAAAGCCUGUAGCUCAACUAUAGAACUGCCAUUGAUACUGAUUAGCUUGAGUAUGGUUGAGGUAAGCGGAAUGGAUGGUGUAGCGGUGAAAUGCAUAGAUAUCAUCCAGAACACCGAUAGCGAAGGCAGCUUACUGGGCCGAAACUGACGCUGAGGCACGAAAGCAUGGGGAUCGAA
rnacentral:rRNA from 1 species